UCGAGAAUAUUCCACAAUGGACGAAAGUCUGAUGGAGCGACGCCUCGUGCAGGAAGAAGGUCUUCGGAUUGUAAACUGCUUUUCUACGGGAUGAAAUCAAUGACAGUACUGUAGGAAUAAGGAGCUGCAAACUACGUGCCAGCAGCCGCGGUAAUACGUAGGCUCCGAGCGUUAUCCGGAUUUAUUGGGCGUAAAGGGUGUGUAGGAGGUUUUGUGCGUCUCGUGUUAAAUCUCACCGCUUAACGGUGGGGCUGCACGGGAUACGGCAAGACUAGAGGGUGCGAGAGGUUUACGGAACACAUGGUGUAGGGGUGACAUCCGUUGAUAUCAUGUGGAACACCAAAGGCGAAGGCAGUAAACUGGCGCAUUCCUGACUCUGAAACACGAAAGCGUGGGGAGC
rnacentral:rRNA from 1 species